rnacentral:rRNA from 1 species
AGUGAACGCUGGCGGUAGGCCUAACACAUGCAAGUCGAGCGGCCGCACAGUAAGCGCUUGCUCUUACGGGUGGCGAGUGGCGGACGGGUGAGGCAUACAUCGGAAUCUACUUUUUCGUGGGUGAUAACGUAGGGCCACUUACGCUACUACCGCAUACGACCUACGGCUGAAAGCAGGAGAUCUUCGGACCUUUCGCGAUUGAAUGAGCCGCUGUCGGAUUAGCUAGUUGACGGGGUAAGGGCCCACCAAGGCGACGAUCCGUAGCUGGUCUGAGAGGAUGACCAGCCACACGGGACCUGAGACACGGCCCAGACCCUAAGGGGAGGCAGCAGUGGGAAAUAUUGGCAAAUGGGCGCAAGCCUGAUCCAGCCAUACCGGUUGGGUGAAGAAGGCCUUCGGGUGGUAAAGCCCUUUUGUUGGGAAAGAAAAGCAGCAGGUUAAUACCCCGCUGCUCUGACGGAACCCAAAGAAGAAGCACCGGCAAACUUCGU